rnacentral:rRNA from 1 species
AUUGAACGCUGGCGGCAGGCCUAACACAUGCAAGUCGAGCGGAUGAAGGGAUCUUGCUCCUGGAUUCAGCGGCGGACGGUUGAGUAAUGCCUAGGAAUCUGCCUGGUAUUGGUGGAUAACGUCCGUAAACGGGCGCUAAUACCGCAUACGUCCUGAGCGUGUAUGUUUGGUAUCUUCUGACCUCACGCUAUCUUAUGUUCCUAGGUCGGAUUAGCUAGUUGGUGGGGUAAAGGCCUACCAAGGCGACGAUCCGUAACUGGUCUGAGAGGAUGAUCAGUCACACUGGAACUGAGACACGGUACAGACGACUACGGGAGGCAGCAGUGGGGAAUAUUGGACAAAGGGCGAAAGCAUGAUACAGGCAUGGCGAGUGUGUGAAGAAGGUCUACGGAUUGUAAAGCACUUUAAGUUGGGAGGAAGGGAAGUAAGUUAAUAACUUGCUGUUUUGACGUUACCAACAGAAUAAGCACCGGCUAACUUCGUG